UAAACAAAUAAUGCAAGAAAAUUUUAUUAGAUUUAGUUAAAUUAAUUAUUUAAAUAAAUAAAAAAUAUAGAUUUUUAGGUGAAAUUUAAAUUUAUAAUUAUAUUUAAUUAAAGUUUUUGAGGCUAAUAAAUUUAUUGAUAAACUAGGAUUAGAUACCCUAUUAUUAUAAACGGAAUUUAAGUUUCUAAAUUAGUAUUAGUUAUGUUCUUGAAAAUUAAAAAAUUUGGCGGUAUUUUAGUCUUUUCAGAGGAACCUGUCCUGUAAUUGAUAAUCCACGAUUAAAUAAACUUUUUUUAAAAAAUUUAUAUAUCGUCGUAGUUUGAAUAUUUUUGAAGAAUUUUAAUAUUCAAGAUUUAUAAUGAUAAAAUAAAUCAGAUCAAGGUGUAGUUUAUAAAAAAGGAGAGAUGGGUUACAUUUUUAAUAAAAUUGGAUAUUAAAAUUUAAUUUUUAAUUGAAAUUGGAUUUGAAAGUAAUUUUAAAUAUUUAUUUAAAAUGAUUUUGGCUCUAAAAUAUGUACAUAUUGCCCGUCGCUUUUGUUUUUAAAAUGAAAUAAGUCGUAACAAAGUAGAUUUACUGGAAAGUGAAUCUAGAA
rnacentral:rRNA from 1 species